UGCUAUUAUUAUUAUUUAUUACCUAAAAGUCAUAAUGAGGCUUUCAACAUUGCUUAUAUACCCUUAACCAGUCCUAUGAGUCAAAUAUUUUUACUAGACUUUUUUGUGUAAAUCAUACACUUUCCCAUCUGAAAUAUAUAUCAAGAGUUGCCUCCCAUAUAUCACUGAUCAAACUCGAAAUACACUUUUCACCAAAAAAAUAUCACUUGGCUUCCUUUUAAAACAGUUAAGCAAAGAUAAACCAAAACAAAACAAUAACAAACAAAAUACUAUUUAUGCUUUUACCUUGACUAAAGUGAAGAGCAAAAAGAUGAAAAACUGCAAUAAAAACACUCCCUUUUGAAAUAUUAAUUAUUACAAAGUAUAAGCGAGUUUUUUUCUCUUUGUUUCCUACAUUGUUACUU
rnacentral:lncRNA from 1 species